rnacentral:rRNA from 1 species
GAUUCUGGCUCAGGAUGAACGCUGGCGGCGUGCUUAACACAUGCAAGUCGAACGAAGCACUGAAGAAUGGAGAUUCGUCAAAGUUCUCUUGACUGAGUGGCGAACGGGUGAGUAAUGCGUGAGCAACCUGCCCUUCAGAGGGGGACAACAGUUGGAAACGACUGCUAAUACCGCAUGACGUGUUCGGGAGGCAUCUCUUGGAUACCAAAGGAGAAAUCCGCUGAAGGAUGGGCUCACGUCUGAUUAGCUAGUUGGCGGGGCAACGGCCCACCAAGGCGACGAUCAGUAGCCGGACUGAGAGGUUGAACGGCCACAUUGGGACUGAGAUACGGCCCAGACUCCUACGGGAGGCAGCAGUGGGGAAUAUUGGGCAAUGGGCGAAAGCCUGACCCAGCAACGCCGCGUGAAGGAAGAAGGCCUUCGGGUUGUAAACUUCUUUUAACAGGGACGAAGAAGUGACGGUACCUGUUGAAUAAGCCACGGCUAACUACGUGCCAGCCGCCGC